CAGCAGAUACCAGGCAUUGUGUGCCUCAAAACCCCGUCAGGACAGGGAUGUAGCAGCGGUAUGAGGAAUUCACAAGUGACCAGGACCAUUUGCUGCUA
rnacentral:SRP_RNA from 1 species